GUAGUGACAUACUAGUGGGUUAAAAACCUUAUAACUAGGAAAAUAUAAAACUUUAUAUUAAAAUUAUAAAGUUUUAAAUAAACAAGGACAAACUAACUAGGACAAAUUAACCCAGUUAGUCUUGAGACUUGUAAAUUACUUACUAGAAGGUUAAAACACCUUAAAUAAAUAACUUAAUGAUAAUGGAGGGACUAAAGGUGUUAAAACUAAAACUAAUAAUAAUAAAAACAAGGUUUAAACACCAAACACACUAAAAGAAGUGUGUCUGGUCGAUCUAAACAUCAGGAGUGAACAGGAGCUUCCCCACCAAACCCUAACUUGUGCAAAUUGAUCAAAUUGGGGCUUCAAAUCAGUUCCAAAUCGAUUUCCAAGCACGAAAUUGUCAUCUCCAUUGAAAGGGGAGUCAUAAGUUUGAUCUCGUCAAACUAAGUGGGAGCUGGAAAGGAAUGGAUCAAACGGGUCAAGUGCGCAAGGAAAGCUCGAACGGACGCAAACUUCAUAUGUUUACAGGAACGAAUAGAAAUUUGGAUAAUUACGUCAUCAUAGAAUAUUGAAUUAAUAAUAGCAAGGCAUAAACGGGUCUAUACGUUGACCCGAGCCAGGUACGCUUAUAUAUAGAUUUAUAGUUAAAAGUGUUUAACUUCCCUUCACGGGUCAAAAGGAGUAGAUAGGUAAAACGGGUUAAGAAUUCAUAAGAAACCCGUAAUUUGAACCUUGCACAUUAGUAAACUGAUAUAACGUGAUAUGCAUGAUAUUUUGAAAAGGGUAAUAAACAAGUUUGUUUGAUAAAUCACGAACGGGUCAAAAAGUGUCAUAAUUGAAUUUCAAGCCGAGAGCUUGAAAGUUAAAAUUUUGUGAAUUCAGAUGUUGGAUUUUAACUCCAUAUGAUGGAGGAUCAAAUUACAAUCACGUAGAAAGAAACGGUAGACCCUGUAAAAAAAUAUGUAUAUAUAUUUUAUUCAGUUUUGCUUCCCAGACUCAUUUAGAUACGUUUUAAACCCCGUAUGACUAAAGCAUUUCAUGUUUAUGAA